CAAAUUUGGGAUACGGGUGUUUUCGGGGUCGCUGAUUAUAUAUUGUCUGAUCUCGGAUUCGUAAUCAGUGACCUCGAAAACCCCCGUAUACCAAAUUUGGCG
rnacentral:pre_miRNA from 14 species